rnacentral:rRNA from 1 species
AUGUGGAGCCGUAGCGAAAGCGAGUCUGAAUAGGGCGUUGAGUAUUUGGUCGUAGACCCGAAACCAGGUGAUCUACCCAUGGUCAGGUUGAAGUUCAGGUAACACUGAAUGGAGGACCGAACCGACUUACGUUGAAAAGUGAGCGGAUGAACUGUGGGUAGCGGAGAAAUUCCAAUCGAACUUGGAGAUAGCUGGUUCUCUCCGAAAUAGCUUUAGGGCUAGCCUCAAGUGAUGAUUAUUGGAGGUAGAGCACUGUUUGGACGAGGGGCCCCUCUCGGGUUACCGAAUUCAGACAAACUCCGAAUGCCAAUUAAUUUAACUUGGGAGUCAGAACAUGGGUGAUAAGGUCCGUGUUCGAAAGGGAAACAGCCCAGACCACCAGCUAAGGUCCCAAAAUAUAUGUUAAGUGGAAAAGGAUGUGGCGUUGCCCAGACAACUAGGAUGUUGGCUUAGAAGCAGCCAUCAUUUAAAGAGUGCGUAAUAGCUCACUAGUCGAGUGACACUGCGCCGAAAAUGUACCGGGGCUAAACAUAUUACCGAAGCUGUGGAUUGUCCGUAGGACAAUGGUAGGAGAGCGUUCUAAGGGCGUUGAAGCAUGAUCGCAAGGACAUGUGGAGCGCUUAGAAGUGAGAAUGCCGGUGUGAGUAGCGAAAGACGGGUGAGAAUCCCGUCCACCGAUUGACUAAGGUUUCCAGAGGAAGGCUCGUCCGCUCUGGGUUAGUCGGGUCCUAAGCUGAGGCCGACAGGCGUAGGCGAUGGAUAACAGGUUGAUAUUCCUGUACCACCUAGCAUCGUUUUAAUCGAUGGGGGGACGCAGUAGGAUAGGCGAAGCGUACGAUUGGAUUGUACGUCUAAGCAGUGAGAUUGAGUGUUAGGCAAAUCCGGCACUCUUAAGAUUGAGCUGUGAUGGGGAGAGGAAAUUGUUUCCUCGAGUCGUUGAUUUCACACUGCCGAGAAAAGCCUCUAGAUAGAUAAUAGGUGCCCGUACCGCAAACCGACACAGGUAGUCAAGAUGAGAAUUCUAAGGUGAGCGAGCGAACUCUCGUUAAGGAACUCGGCAAAAUGACCCCGUAACUUCGGGAGAAGGGGUGCUCUUUAGGGUGCAAGCCCAGAAGAGCCGCAGUGAAUAGGCCCAAGCGACUGUUUAUCAAAAACACAGGUCUCUGCUAAACCGUAAGGUGAUGUAUAGGGGCUGACGCCUGCCCGGUGCUGGAAGGUUAAGAGGAGUGNNNNNNNNNNNNNNNNNNNNNNNNNNNNNNNNNNNNNNNNNNNNNNNNNNNNNNNNNNNNNNNNNNNNNNNNNNNNNNNNNNNNNNNNNNNNNNNNNNGGUUAGCUUCUGCGAAGCUACGAAUCGAAGCCCCAGUAAACGGCGGCCGUAACUAUAACGGUCCUAAGGUAGCGAAAUUCCUUGUCGGGUAAGUUCCGACCCGCACGAAAGGCGUAACGAUUUGGGCACUGUCUCAACGAGAGACUCGGUGAAAUCAUAGUACCUGUGAAGAUGCAGGUUACCCGCGACAGGACGGAAAGACCCCGUGGAGCUUUACUGUAGCCUGAUAUUGAAAUUCGGCACAGCUUGUACAGGAUAGGUAGGAGCCUUUGAAACGUGAGCGCUAGCUUACGUGGAGGCGCUGGUGGGAUACUACCCUAGCUGUGUUGGCUUUCUAACCCGCACCACUUAUCGUGGUGGGAGACAGUGUCAGGCGGGCAGUUUGACUGGGGCGGUCGCCUCCUAAAAGGUAACGGAGGCGCUCAAAGGUUCCCUCAGAAUGGUUGGAAAUCAUUCAUAGAGUGUAAAGGCAUAAGGGAGCUUGACUGCGAGACCUACAAGUCGAGCAGGGUCGAAAGACGGACUUAGUGAUCCGGUGGUUCCGCAUGGAAGGGCCAUCGCUCAACGGAUAAAAGCUACCCCGGGGAUAACAGGCUUAUCUCCCCCAAGAGUUCACAUCGACGGGGAGGUUUGGCACCUCGAUGUCGGCUCAUCGCAUCCUGGGGCUGUAGUCGGUCCCAAGGGUUGGGCUGUUCGCCCAUUAAAGCGGUACGCGAGCUGGGUUCAGAACGUCGUGAGACAGUUCGGUCCCUAUCCGUCGUGGGCGUAGGAAAUUUGAGAGGAGCUGUCCUUAGUACGAGAGGACCGGGAUGGACAUACCUCUGGUGUACCAGUUGUCGUGCCAACGGCAUAGCUGGGUAGCUAUGUAUGGACGGGAUAAGUGCUGAAAGCAUCUAAGCAUGAAGCCCCCCUCAAGAUGAGAUUUCCCAACUUCGGUUAUAAGAUCCCUCAAAGAUGAUGAGGUUAAUAGGUUCGAGGUGGAAGCGUGGUGACACGUGGAGCUGACGAAUACUAAUCGAUCGAAGACUUAAUCAA